AUUGAACGCUGGCGGCAGGCCUAACACAUGCAAGUCGAGCGAGCGGCGGACGGGUGAGUAAUGUAUGGGGAUAUGCCCGAUAGAGGGGGAUAACUACUGGAACCGGUGGCUAAUACCGCAUAGUAUUGGAUGAGCCACGAUGGGAUUAGGUAGUAGGUGGGGUAAAGGCUCACCUAGGCGACGAUCUCUAGCUGGUCUGGGAGGAUGAACAGCCACACUGGGACUGAGACACGGCCCAGACUCCUACGGGAGGCAGCAUUGGGGAAUAUUGCACAAUGGGCGCAAGCCUGAUGCAGCCAUGCCGCGUGUAUGAAGAAGGCCUUAGGGUUGUAAAGUACUUUCAGCGGGGAGGCGGUACCCGCAGAAGAAGCACCGGCUAACUCCGUGCCAGCAGCCGCGGUAAUUC
rnacentral:rRNA from 1 species